UAACCUACCUCAUAGUGGGGGAUAACAGUCGGAAACGACUGCUAAUACCGCAUAGGACAUAGAAUCACAUGAUUCUGUGAGGAAAGGUGGCGCAAGCUAUCGCUAAGAGAUGGACCCGCGGUGCAUUAGCUAGUUGGUAGGGUAACGGCCUACCAAGGCGAUGAUGCAUAGCCGACCUGAGAGGGUGAUCGGCCACAUUGGGACUGAGACACGGCCCAA
rnacentral:rRNA from 1 species